CUUCAGCAGCACGGUACCCACACGGGGAGCACAGCUGAAUUAUUUCAGUUUUAUCAAGAAAUCAGAAGGCUAUCAGAAACGACCUCUUCACUUUUGCUGAGGCCAGCGGCGAAUGGACCUUCAUGUCUUGUCUAUGGACAGACUAAGGACACACUGGAGACACAGAGACUCGAGAUGGUGGAGCAGUUUAAGAAGAUGUCCAUGGAGAAAGCUAUGGUUCUCAUUCAUCAACAUAUGCAGCAGACCUUCGCACUGAGGCGGGAAGAAAUAGUACAUUCAGACCCUCCCAUUGUUGAUGUUGUUGCAAGAUGGCCUGCACUCUACUGUGAAGCCCAGUCUUCGCUACUCCUUCUUUGCUGCACUCGACAAGCACACACCUCAGCUUUUAAAGCUCUACCAAAUGAAGAAAAUCUGAAGUUUCGGUGAAAGGUUACAAGCUCUUCUAAUGGGACCAGGACAAGAACAACAUUACUGCAGCGAGGACAGCAGCCCUGGCCGGCCUCCCGCUGUACCUAAAGGAGGAUUUUUCUGGUGUCUUCAAAACUUCACAGGAUGAAGAGGCACCCCAUGGUGAAGCAGUGGCUCUGCUGACUGUGGUCAGUGAGGAUGAGGUGCCAACUGGGAUACCUUUUGAAACACACCAUGUGUCCAUCGUCCUCGAGGGUCAGGUUCUAAUGUCUCACAGAUCCCUUGAGUAGCUGUUGUUUUGAAUAUUAUGCUUUUCCAAUUUGAAAAAAGAUAUUCCAGUACAUUUCUACAUUUUCAAACUUCCAUGAGUCAGUCUCAUUGUGACAACAAUCUAAGUUGUAUGUUUGAGUUUCAAGUUUGUAUUCUCGAAAAUAUGGUUUUGUAAUUUCAAUUAGAAGUCUACACAAGGUAACACAGAAAAGCAUUGACAUUUCUGGAAAUGUCUUAAGUAAUAUAGAAUUACUCAGUUUGCUAGUUUUGUGUGGAUCAGCUUUAUUUUGAGGGUGUGAAAUCAAGCAGUUUUUUUCUGCUUGAUUUCACAUUUUAAGUGUGUUGCUGCCUCCCUUAAUUCUUAAGGUCUUGUAGACUUAAACAGUCUAUUGAACAAUCUUCAAUAAAGAAUGCUUGUAUUGUUUUUAAAUAAAUGGCAAAUUUGUUUUAAAUAAUUGU